rnacentral:lncRNA from 1 species
CAGUUCUAUUCUGCAAGCUCAGAGAUGCAAAAAGCCUGCGGCGCUCUGGAGGCGCCUGGUCCUGGGGACCUCUUUCCUCCACUCUGUUCUCAGCAUAGGAAGAUGGGGCUGGGGAAUUCUUUUUGGUUUUCUGGUUUUGUUUUGCUCUGGUUUUGGUCGGGGUUUUGUAUUUUUCUAUUCUUCCUUGGUUUUAUUUUUUCCUUUUUUUCCUUUUUUUUUUUCUUUUGCUUUCCUGUCAUUCUCCCAGCCAAAAGCCGCCUUCGACCCUUUUGAUUUGAUGUAGCAAAGAGUGUGUGUCCAGAUUAUCUGAAAUAGACACUGAAGAAGCUACAUAGAUGGUCAAGCAGGGCCCGGAAGAAGACCAUUCAGGAAAAAGUGGUCCAGGACUCGGUGGAUGGGCUGCCGGCAGACCGGUGUGGCUCAGACCUGGUGACUUUUUGGAGAGGUCGUAGAAUGAGGACAGCAGACACACGAGGACCUUGACUUCGGCGCACAGACAGUGCAAAAAGGAGACAAAGACGGACAGAAUCAAAAAAGAGCGUAUUUCCCCCUCCUACGUAUUUGUUUUUCCUGAUAGUCUCACAAAGAUGAGAGUCUGGUCCGGUCCAGCGGGUUAUCUUGUGGCACUGGCUGUCUCCAGUGGCUGUGCCUGCGCUUUGAGGCCACUCUGCUGUUCACCGUGGCCCAAACCAGAUUCGGGCUGAAAGGUCGCUGAGUCAGACUUUUAGGGGCUCCGAGAAGCAGCAAGCCCUCUGCCUUCACUGUUCCUUUUUCUUUUAUUUUUAGCUCCCCACCCCCACCCCUGCUCCCGCUCGUGGGCUCUUCUCCUCCUGGCCCAGGGCGUGCGAAAAGGUGGAUGAACCUGGAGGCGGGAGGGGCCGGGCCAAGGGAGACGGGCAGUAACCUCACAUCAGUUGAGGCUGCUGCAUAGCUUCUUGGUGCGCUGAGGGAUACCAUGAUGUAUAGCUGGGGACGUAGGAGCCAGCGCUGCUGCCGGAGCCCUUCCCAGAUGAGGAGUUCGGAUUCCAGCCGGGUGGUACCGGUGGGGAGCCGGCAGACAAGGCUCUGCCGUUCGCCAGCGCGCUGCCCUCCAGAGCUGCCCCGCCUUGCUUCAUCAGCUUCUUGAACUUGGAGCGUUUGUUCUGGAACCAUAUCUUGACCUGCAGGAUCGGGCGACAACGUGACGAAUUGGGUCGUUCCCAAGAGCGCAGCUAUUGCCUUUGCAGAGAAAGUUUGCUAUUUUUUGCAGGCGGUAGUUGAGGUUUAAUUACCCUUAAUUGCAUACAUUGUUUAUAGCGCUACGCAAUAAAUAAUUACCGAGACUAGCAGCAGCUCCUGCCUAAAGAUUUCCUCUUCUGAUUAAAGGCAUGAGGCUGUGCGCAGAAACAUUUCAUGCAGCAUGUUGGUUGGAGCAAAAGAGAAAAACAAAAGAAAGAGGAAAAAAACAAAACAAAAAACAACAGUCCAAAAUUCGUAAACCAAUAAAGGGUUUGCCAUCGCCUGAAAGGUUUUUUGUUUUGUUUUUGUUUUUUCCUUAAUCGCCAAACCACAAGGUGAGGCUUUGUAACACCAACCAACUAAGAACUCCAACUCGCCUCGUCCUGGUCUUCCUGUCGUACUCGCGAUUUUAAUAGCUCCUUCUUAGUGCCUGUUUUGGGGUGUGGAGUGCCGUCCUGUGCGCCCAACGCAGCCGCUUGGAUGCCAUCUGAACCGAAGGUCUCUUCGCCUUGCGGGCCUUGCCCAGUCCUACAGUCAGAACUAGGAGGCCUUGCUGGCCCUAGGUGAUUGGAAUUUGUUGGUGACACCAAUCAUGCCAUCAGCCAGGAAUGGGCCACCAUGGAGCGCAUGCCACUUGCUGACAGAGAGCAAGGGACUUAAUCGCCUCUAGUUACUGGGUGUUAAUGAAAAAACAAAACAAACAGAAAACCAAACAGCACAUUAUGCCGGUAACAGAAUUAGAGGUUGGAUGGCUGCGGUCUCCUAAAUGUGUCGAUUUUUUUUUCCUGAAUAAGAAAAGGCGAAACAAUAGAUGCCCAGAAAUACUGCUGUAAUUCACCAGAACAAACAUCCGUCAGAAUCGGGGCCAGCCUUCUCGCCAGCAGCAGACAUAAACUAUCUAAAUAAUGAAAUGCAUUAGGUAUUUGAAGGCGAACUCAGAGAAAAAGGCAGCAUCUUUUCAAGGUGACUGAGCUUUCCAUGCUUUGGGCAAGCGGGAUGAAUUCAAAGGCUCGGGCGCAGAUUAAUGAGAACAGCACUUUAAAAAGGACUGGCCGAUCAUCUUUAACAAAAUGUGUUACUUUUAAAUGAA